GUGCUCACUUCGGCAGCACAUAUACUAAAAUUGGAACAAUGCAGAGAAGAGUAGCAUGGCUCCUGCGCAAGGAUAACACGCAAAUUCGUGAAGCGUUCCAUACUUUA
ensembl:snRNA U6 U6 spliceosomal RNA